GAUGAACGCUGGCGGCGUGCCUAAUACAUGCAAGUCGAGCGAACAGACGAGGAGCUUGCUCCUCUGACGUUAGCGGCGGACGGGUGAGUAACACGUGGAUAACCUACCUAUAAGACUGGGAUAACUUCGGGAAACCGGAGCUAAUACCGGAUAAUAUAUUGAACCGCAUGGUUCAAUAGUGAAAGACGGUUUUGCUGUCACUAUAGAUGGAUCCGCGCCGCAUUAGCUAGUUGGUAAGGUAACGGCUUACCAAGGCGACGAUGCGUAGCCGACCUGAGAGGGUGAUCGGCCACACUGGAACUGAGACACGGUCCAGACUCCUACGGGAGGCAGCAGUAGGGAAUCUUCCGCAAUGGGCGAAAGCUUGACGGAGCAACGCCGCGUGAGUGAUGAAGGUCUUCGGAUCGUAAAACUCUGUUAUUAGGGAAGAACAAAUGUGUAAGUAACUAUGCACGUCUUGACGGUACCUAAUCAGAAAGCCACGGCUAACUACGUG
rnacentral:rRNA from 1 species